rnacentral:rRNA from 1 species
GAUGAACGCUGGCGGCGUGCCUAAUACAUGCAAGUCGAGCGAACGGACGAGAAGCUUGCUUCUCUGAUGUUAGCGGCUGACGGGUGAGUAACACGUGGAUAACCUACCUAUAAGACUGGGAUAACUUCGGGAAACCGGAGCUAAUACCGGAUAAUAUUUUGAACCGCAUGGUUCAAAAGUUAAAGACGGUCUUGCUGUCACUUAUAGAUGGAUCCGCGCUGCAUUAGCUAGUUGGUAAGGUAACGGCUUACCAAGGCAACGAUGCAUAGCCGACCUGAGAGGGUGAUCGGCCACACUGGAACUGAGACACGGUCCAGACUCCUACGGGAGGCAGCAGUAGGGAAUAUUGCGCAAUGGGCGAAAGCCUGACGGAGCAACGCCGCGUGAGUGAAGAAGGUCUUCGGAUCGUAAAACCCUGUUAUUAGGGAAGAAAAUAUGUGGAAGUAAAUGUGGACAUCUUGACGGUACCCAAACAAAAAGCCACGGCUAACUACGUG